rnacentral:RNase_P_RNA from 1 species
UAAGUAAGCCAGAUGAUCGCAUGCGUUUGCAUGAGGAAAGUCCGAGCUCCAAAGGGCAGGGUGCUGGGUAAUACCCAGUGGGGGCAACCCCAAGGAUAGUGCAACAGAGAUAUACCGCCAGAACUCUUUUUCGGUGUAACAACUGAGCAUGUAGUGAAAUAGUCCAUAGAAGGGGCUAUCUGGUAAGGGUGGAAAGGCGAGGUAAGAGCUCACCAGCAGCUAGGCGACUAGCUGGCUAUGUAAACCCCAUCUGGAGCAAGACCAAGUAGGGACUAGAAAAGGCGGCUGCCCGUCGUCAUCCCAAAGGUAGGUCGCUGGAACCUAUUGGCAACAUUAGGUCUAGAUAGAUGAUCGUCUAAUACAGAACUCGGCUUAUAGACUUACUUAAUAC